CCUACGGGCGGCAGCAGUGAGGAAUAUUGGUCAAUGGACGAGAGUCUGAACCAGCCAAGUAGCGUGAAGGAUGACUGCCCUAUGGGUUGUAAACUUCUUUUAUAUGGGAAUAAAAUGUUCCACGUGUGGGAUUUUGUAUGUACCAUAUGAAUAAGGAUCGGCUAACUCCGUGCCAGCAGCCGCGGUAAUACGGAGGAUCCGAGCGUUAUCCGGAUUUAUUGGGUUUAAAGGGAGCGUAGGUGGAUUGUUAAGUCAGUUGUGAAAGUUUGCGGCUCAACCGUAAAAUUGCAGUUGAAACUGGCAGUCUUGAGGACAGUAGAGGUGGGCGGAAUUCGUGGUGUAGCGGUGAAAUGCUUAGAUAUCACGAAGAACUCCGAUUGCGAAGGCAGUUCACUGGACUGCAACUGACACUGAGGCUCGAAAGUGUGGGUAUCAAACAGGAUUAGAUACCCCUGUAGUC
rnacentral:rRNA from 1 species